UACGUAGGGGGGCAAGCGUUUGUCCGGAUUUAUUGGGCGUAAAGAGCGUGUAGGCGGCCAGGUAGGUCCGCUGUGAAAACUCGAGGCUUAACCUCGAGAUGUCGGUGGAAACCAUCUGGCUAGAGUCCGGAAGAGGAGAGUGGAAUUCCUGGUGUAGCGGUGAAAUGCGCAGAUAUCAGGAAGAACACCCGUGGCGAAGGCGGCUCUCUGGGACGGUACUGACGCUGAGACGCGAAAGCGUGGGGAGCGAACAGG
rnacentral:rRNA from 1 species